rnacentral:tRNA from 1 species
GCGUCCGUAGCUCAAUUGGAUAGAGCAUCAGAUUUCGGCUCUGAGGGUUGAGGGUUCGAGUCCUUCCGGGCGUACAA